UGAGGAAUAUUGGUCAAUGGGCGAGAGCCUGAACCAGCCAAGUCGCGUGAGGGAAGAAUGGUCUAUGGCUUGUAAACCUCUUUUGUCAGGGAAGAAUAAGGAUGACGAGUCAUUCGAUGCCAGUACUUGACGAAUAAGCAUCGGCUAACUCCGUGCCAGCAGCCGCGGUAAUACGGGGGAUGCGAGCGUUAUCCGGAUUUAUUGGGUUUAAAGGGCGCGUAGGCGGGACGUCAAGUCAGCGGUAAAAGACUGCAGCUAAACUGUAGCACGCCGUUGAAACUGGCGCCCUGGAGACGAGACGAGGGAGGCGGAACAAGUGAAGUAGCGGUGAAAUGCAUAGAUAUCACUUGGAACCCCGAUAGCGAAGGCAGCUUCCCAGGCUCGUUCUGACGCUGAUGCGCGAGAGCGUGGGUAGCGAACA
rnacentral:rRNA from 1 species